AACGAACGCUGGCGGCAUGCCUAACACAUGCAAGUCGAACGAGACCUUCGGGUCUAGUGGCGCACGGGUGCGUAACGCGUGGGAACCUGCCCUUAGGUUCGGAAUAACUCCCCGAAAGGGGUGCUAAUACCGGAUAAUGUCUUCGGACCAAAGAUUUAUCGCCUUUGGAUGGGCCCGCGUUGAAUUAGCUAGUUGGUAGGGUAAAAGCCUACCAAGGCGCCGAUCCAUAGCUGGUCUGAGAGGAUGAUCAGCCACACUGGGACUGAGACCCGGCCCAGACUCCUACGGGAGGCAGCAGUGGGGAAUAGUGGAAAGUGGGGGAAAGCCUGAUGGAGCUAUGCCGCGUGAGUGAUGAAGGCCUUAGGGUUGUAAAGCUCUUGUACCCGGGAUGAUAAUGACAGUACCGGGAGAAUAAGCUCCGGCUAACUCCGUG
rnacentral:rRNA from 1 species